rnacentral:rRNA from 1 species
AGGAAAAGAAACUAACAAGGAUUCCCCUAGUAACUGCGAGUGAAGCGGGAAAAGCUCAAAUUUAAAAUCUGGCGGUCUUUGGCCGUCCGAGUUGUAAUCUAGAGAAGUGUUAUCCGCGCUGGACCGUGUACAAGUCUCCUGGAAUGGAGCGUCAUAGAGGGUGAGAAUCCCGUCUUUGACACGGACUGCCAGGGCUUUGUGAUGCGCUCUCAAAGAGUCGAGUUGUUUGGGAAUGCAGCUCAAAAUGGGUGGUAAAUUCCAUCUAAAGCUAAAUAUUGGCGAGAGACCGAUAGCGAACAAGUACCGUGAGGGAAAGAUGAAAAGAACUUUGGAAAGAGAGUUAAACAGUACGUGAAAUUGCUGAAAGGGAAACGCUUGAAGUCAGUCGCAUUGUCUGGGAAUCAACCUUGCUUUUGCUGGGCGUACUUUCCAGAUGAUGGGUCAGCAUCAAUUUUGACCGUUGGAUAAAGUCCGAAGGAAUGUGGCAUCUUCGGGUGUGUUAUAGCCUUUGGUCGCAUACAACGGUUGGGAUUGAGGAACUCAGCACGCCGAAAGGCCGGGUACUUGUACUACGUUCGUGCUUAGGAUGCUGGCAUAAUGGCUUUAAUCGACCCGUCUU